UGUGCAAAGGUAGCAUAAUUAUUAGUUUUUUAAUUGAAAGCUUGUAUGAAGGGUUGGACGAGAUAAAAUCUGUCUUUAUUUAAAUUACAAUAGAAUUUAACUUUUAAGUCAAAAGGCUUAAAUGUAUAUAAAAGACGAGAAGACCCUAUAGAUCUUUAUUUAAUUAAUAUUUUGAUAAUUUAAGAUUAUUUUAGUUUAAAGUUUUAAUUAAAUUUUAUUGGGGUAAUAUAGAGAUUAAAUAAAUUCUUUUUAUUUAUUACAUUGAUUUAUGAAUAUAUGAUCCAAUAUUAUUGAUUAUAAGAUUAAGUUACCUUAGGGAUAACAGCGUAAUUUUUUUGGAGAGCUCAUAUCGAUAAAAAAGUUUGCGACCUCGAUGUUGGAUUAAAAAUUAGCUUGGGUGCAGAAGCUCAAGAUUUUGGUCUGUUCGACCAUUAAAUUUUUACAUGAUCUGAGUUCAGACCGGCGUAAGCCAGGUCGGUUUCUAUCUUUAUUUAUCUAAAAUAUUUUAGUACGAAAGGACCAAAUAUUUAAUAUAAUUAUAUUUCUUUUUUGAAUAAUAUU
rnacentral:rRNA from 1 species